rnacentral:rRNA from 1 species
GAUGAACGCUGGCGGCGUGCCUAAUACAUGCAAGUCGAGCGAACAGACGAGGAGCUUGCUCCUCUGACGUUAGCGGCGGACGGGUGAGUAACACGUGGAUAACCUACCUAUAAGACUGGGAUAACUUCGGGAAACCGGAGCUAAUACCGGAUAAUAUAUUGAACCGCAUGGUUCAAUAGUGAAAGACGGUUUUGCUGUCACUUAUAGAUGGAUCCGCGCCGCAUUAGCUAGUUGGUAAGGUAACGGCUUACCAAGGCAACGAUGCGUAGCCGACAUGCGAGGGUGAUCGGCCACACUGGAACUGAGACACGGUCCAGACUCCUACGGGAGGCAGCAGUAGGGAAUUUUCCGCAAUGGGCGAAAGCUUGACGGAGCAACGCCGCGUGAGUGAUGAAGGUCUUCGGAUCGUAAAACUCUGUUAUUAGGGAAGAACAAAUGUGUAAGUAACUAUGCACGUCUUGACGGUACCUAAUCAGAAAGCCACGGCUAACUACGUG